rnacentral:lncRNA from 1 species
CAGAAAUACAUGAUCAAUUAUUUAAUGCAUUUUAUUUCAAAAAUAUAAAAUAUAUAUUUUAUAAAGAUAUAUUUAUUUAUGAUAUUUAAAUAAAAUAUUGUUAGGAAUAAAAUAUAUAGGAAUCUUGAUUUUAUUAUAUUUAUAAAUAAUAAAAAAUAGAUUAAAAGUAGAAUUUUCACAACAUUUUUGAUAGAUGCUGUUAAAUAAACUAUUUGAUACAUGUUUUAGAUACUUUCUAGGGUUUAUUGCUGCUACUUUAUAGCAUCGUUUAAACAAGCAGCUUGGCCCAAACAAACUGAGUUUAAAGAGUGUCCCAUUCGGGACGGGUUGCGAAUGAGAUCCAGCAGCAGUUCGGUGGGAGGUCCCUUUAAGUUUCCAUUGAGGGAGGCCGCACUAUGUCACAUGAUGAACAUGAUAUAAUAAAACAGCGAAAAGAAAAGUGUGUGUGUCCAUGACUACAAAAUAAGACUAAAGCAACGCAGUCGGCCAGUACACGCCCCAUUUUCAGAGAUGGGGCUACUGGAGCUGCAGUGUUCCCAACAUCACCCAGUGAUGAUUUCGUAGUGCGGACCGGACUGCACCUGCUGCCACGCAUAAAACGUACUUCACAGAAACGCAAGAGGACGCAUGAAGUUAUCUGCGACUCCUUCAUAUGAUGAAUGACACAGUUAACGCAAACUCCUCGCGCGCAUGUGAGAACUGAGAAAUGUGCGGAUUGAGCAACAAAUGUGACUGUAUUGGUGGUCCCGGGGCAGGUGCUUUCUGGGUCACGGGGCGGUUGGAGCUUUGGAGGGAUGCCUGUAUGUCUUUAAAUGCUGUAAGACCUGUGAAAGAGGCUGUUGGGGUGAACAGUGGGUUAUCCAAGUUAAGGUAAGAUGUAAUCCUUAAAUGACAGGUAUUGCUGUUGGAAACUGCGACGUGUGUUUGUGGAUGUACCAUUGUUUGUGUGAGUGUGGGAGAAAUAAGUCAGAGAUUAGCUCUGUCCCAAAACCUGGUGAGCUACAUACACAAAUGAUUUCAAAAGGUAGCACCCUCACUGAAAUAAUUUGAAUGAUUUACAUGAGCAUCAACUCAACUAGCUACGCAACAUAGCACAUAAUGCAAAGCAUGAAAGGUGAAAUUCCAAGAGCUUGACGUUAGCAUGUUGCUAAGCUAACGGCAUAUAAAAAUACAGGUAAGCAAUCCAUUUUAACUUCAGUUUUGAUACUUUUCAGUAAUGAAUGAAGUAUGUUUUACUCAUCCCAACAUCUUGAAUUUUGUGGGGAUGGAACGAGCUUGUCAAAACUGAGAUUGCAUUAUUCUUCUUGUGAUGCUGCCUUUGAUUUUCGGCAAAAUCUCUCAAGUUGUGACCACGACUAUGAUGCCCUAUUUUGCUAGGCAGCUCAGUAGGAUCUGAAAAUAUUGUGUUGGACAGAUAAGGCACUAAUUGUGUGUAUGCGUAUGUGUGGGUGAGAUAGAGAGAGAGAGAGAGAGAGAGAGAGAGAGAGAGACUGAGAGCUGAAAGUACGUCAAAAGGAAGGUAACUCAAUCUGGGCAGCUGUUAGCCAUUCCAUUGCAGUGCCACGUCUCAGUGCAUUGACGUAGAGAGAGUACCUGCUCUGGCUGUAUGCUUUUGUGUGUGACGGCGGAAACAGUGGAAGUUUAACUGUGAGCCAGGCCUAAUAUGAAGGUGAAUAAAGCUGUAAAACAGAGAGAGAAAAUAAAAUGUCAACGCAAGAUCAAGCUGUAACUCUGAUGUACGUGCCAAUGGGUCACGCCUCCUUUCCCAUGUGGUCCUGGGCAAACAGCGGUGAAUGUGUGUGCGCUUCGCUAUGCAGACAAAUUAUGCCCCCGGGAAGAUUGGAGAAAACAUGUUUUGCGAUGUAGAGUUGAGUAACUUUGGAGGAACUUCCAGUAAUUGGCUUUUCGUACUUGAGCUCUGAGAAAAUGACAAGACAUUGUUACAUCACUGUUUUAGUGGCCAAUGGUGAAGCAGAGCAAACACAGGAGAGUGUGCGUGUGGUUUUUGUGUGUGUUUCUGGUGUGGUAUGCCUCCGGGCUUUGGCUUUGUAUGUCAGGUAAUCCUCCUGAAAAAGCUGGAUUACAGUGCAUUU